AUGCUUCCUGACAGCUGUUCAGUUCUGCUGUUCCUCUUAAUGUUCAGGAUGAGCAAUGGAGACUCAGUGACCCAGACAGAAGGCCUGGUUACUGUCACAGAGGGGUCACCUGUGAUGCUGAACUGUACCUAUCAGACUACUGAUUCAGCCCCUUAUGUUUUCUGGUAUGUGCAAUAUGUCAACAAAGCCCCUCAACUACUCCUGAAGGGCUUCACAGACAAGAAGAGGACAGAAUACCAAGGGUUCUAUGCCAUGCUCCAUAAGAGCAACAGCUCCUUCCACCUGCAGAAGUCCUCAAUGAAGCUGUCAGACUCUGCCCUGUACUACUGUGCUCUGAGUGACACAGUGAGGAAGACUGCAGGGGAAGCUGCACACAAACCAAGUGUACAGGAGGGUGAGGGGAGUGGCCCUGUGAGGGAGAGCUGUGUAUGUCUCUAA